rnacentral:rRNA from 1 species
UACAGAGGUCUCAAGCGUUGUUCGGAUUCAUUGGGCGUAAAGGGUGCGUAGGCGGCGCGGUAAGUCGGGUGUGAAAUCUCGGAGCUUAACUCCGAAACUGCAUUCGAUACUGCUGUGCUUGAGGACUGGAGAGGAGACUGGAAUUUACGGUGUAGCGGUGAAAUGCGUAGAUAUCGUAAGGAAGACCAGUGGCGAAGGCGGGUCUCUGGACAGUUCCUGACACUGAGACACGAAGGCCAGGGGAGCAAACGGG